rnacentral:rRNA from 1 species
AUGGCCAUCAAGCGCGUCUUCCCCGACGACCACCCCGACUUCAAGGUGGACACCAGCGGCGGCGCCCCGAGGUUCACCUUCUUCAACAGGGCGCGCUACUGGAGAUCCACCGACUACCAGGAGAUGCGCGCGCUCGGCGUGGGCGCCUAUGGCGGCGUCGUGGAGGCGCGCCACCGCACCAACGGCUGGACCGUCGCCGUCAAGAAGCCGCUCCCCUGCGCGCACGAGGGCGCCGGCAUCGCGUGCGGCUGCGCCGAUGCCCGUACGCUGCGCGAGGCCGCGUUCCUCGCGGCGUGCCACCGCCACCGCGCCAUCGUCGAGCUCCGGGCGCUCUCGCUCGACCGCUGCGCCGGGAAGCUCUCCGUCGUCAUGGAGUGCGUCGGGCCCAGCCUGCACGACGUCCUCCAUGAGCACCGCCGCGGACGGCCCUUCCCCGAGGCCGACGUGCGCUGCAUCAUGGAGUAG